rnacentral:rRNA from 1 species
AUGGAGACGAGCGUGAUCGUCCUGUCCGUCGUGGUAGGAUUGCUCGGGGUCGGAAGCGCCGUGCUGGGGUUCAUCGCCGAGGGCACCAAGCUCGAGCGGAAUGACAUCGGGGUGUCCAAGACCGAGUGCGUGUACCCCGGCAACCCGGCGUUCGCGCUGGGGCUGGUCGCGGCGCUCCUGCUGCUGGCGGCCCAGAUCACCGUCUCGGCCGCCGGCCGCUGCUGCGGCUGCUGCAAGCCCCGGGGCGCCGCCUUCUCCGCGUCCAGGCGGAACAUCGGCGUCGUCUUCGCCGUCCUCUCAUGGGUGGCGACGGUGAUCGCGGAGAUCUACUUCGUGCAGGGCGCGGCGUGGAACGCGCCGGUGACGCGCGAGGUCAACACGGGGUGCUACUUCGUCAGGGACGGCGUGUUCAGGAGGGCGGCCAUCCUGAGCAUCAUCGCAACCGUGCUCGGGAUCAAGUCCUACUUCUUGCUUCGCGCCGCUGCGGCCACGGCGGCGGCGGCGGCUGCUGCUGUGCCAGGAUACCCGGGGGCCGUGGCGGGGCCGUCGUCGGCGGGCGAGCCCAAGCCCGACGGGAUCGCGAUGGGUCACCCUGCUCCGAUGUACGGGCAGGCGCCGUACGCGCACUACCCUCCGCCUCCGAACGCGCAGGGGUACGGGCAGUACCCGCCCCCUCCAAACGCGCAGGGGUAUGGACAGUACCCUCCUCCUGCUCAGGGGUACGGGCACGGACACUGA